UACGUAGGGUGCGAGCGUUGUCCGGAAUUACUGGGCGUAAAGAGCUCGUAGGUGGUUUGUCGCGUUGUUCGUGAAAUCUCACGGCUUAACUGUGAGCGUGCGGGCGAUACGGGCAGACUUGAGUACUGCAGGGGAGACUGGAAUUCCUGGUGUAGCGGUGGAAUGCGCAGAUAUCAGGAGGAACACCGGUGGCGAAGGCGGGGUCUCUGGGCAGUAACUGACGCUGAGGAGCGAAAGCGUGGGGAGCGAACAGG
rnacentral:rRNA from 1 species